UACGGGGGGGGCAAGCGUUGUUCGGAUUUACUGGGCGUAAAGGGCGCGCAGGCGGCUAUCCAAGUCAGGCGUGAAAGCCCCGGGCUUAACCUGGGAGGUGCGUCUGGGACUGGGUGGCUAGAGUUCGGGAGAGGAGAGUGGAAUUCCCAGUGUAGAGGUGAAAUUCGUAGAUAUUGGGAAGAGCACCGGUGGCGAAGGCGGCUCUCUGGACCGAGACUGAUGCUGAGGCGCGAAAGCGUGGGGAGCAAACAGG
rnacentral:rRNA from 1 species